UAUAUAAAAUUAAGAUCAUUUGGAUAGAAUAACUGAAACUUAUAUAAAAAGAAUUGAGGAGCUAAAAAGUUCUCAAAUUCACAUCUCUCUUUGCCUGAAUGAAACAAGCCCUAAUAAUAACGAUUUCGAAAAAAUCAUUGGUUCCAAAAAAACAUUACUGAAAGAGAGCGAAAAACUUUUAGAACAACUCUCAUCGGAGAAAA